AGGGCCUCUGAGAGACCUCCACCAAGCUCCUCCCUCUGCUGGUGCUGCCUGCAGGUACCAGGGGCUGGUUUGGAAGGGGGGUUGCCGUGUUAGCCAGGAGGAAAAAGGAGGGAUCGAGAGAGAGUGAAGAAAGGACCCCCACCCCCCUCAAUCCAAGAUGAAUGCUGGUCGAUGACCUCAGUGCUCUGAUCUGUUCACCACAUUGGACUGGAAAGGCUGAGCUAAUUAUCCUCGUUUCCUGGAGAUACAGGGGCCCGGGCUGGGACUCUCCCAGUCUGGUGAAGGUUGAAUCAGUUUACCCCCUGUAAAGUGUGGUUUAACUGCUGAGUCACAUUCCCUGGAGUGGGUGCUAGUACAAAGGAAUUGUGGGAGGAAAAUGUGGCGGUAACACAACACCAUGUGCUGCUGGAGUGUUGGAGGUUAGUGUGGGUGUGUGUGUAGGAUGCAGUAACGUCCAUUUUAGAGGCGGUCUAUGACUGACCAGCAUCACAUGUCUAAGUUCUUUUCAUUAUUCUUCUCAACACGAGCACCUCCUAAGAUUGACAUGACAAUACAAGUUGUUCUGAGACUCCGCUGGCUGUUAGACAGGCUAGUAAUUCAACUCCUUGUUUAGCUUUGUUUAGCCAGAGCAGAUAUAGGAGGCUGUGCCACACUGUGCACAACUUCAUCUGGAUGUGGGUUAGUUUGACACUGUUUACACAGUUCCUCUCUGGCAGCAGGCCAUGUUUUCCUCUGCGUAGAUGUGUCUGGGUUUGUGUUUACGCAGGAGUUGGGCCUUUAUACUGCCAUCCCAAUAAAAUCUGUCAAAAUCCAGCAGACGUCUUGAUGUAUGGUUCACAUGUGGGUUAAAAGUUGCACUCUAAAGUAGCAUUCAGCGUUUGUCAUCAGUGUCUCCUACAAUUUGGGUUCCCUCAUGAAACACACUGAGGUCAACAAAUGUUUCCUGUUAGGCCCGGACUGACAUAAGCAGUUAAAGUAUAAGGAAACAACGAGGAAUAUGCAUUUUGGUUGCAUUGCACUGUUUGUCACAAGUUUAAAAAUACAUUGAAUAAUUAAAAGGGAGUGUAAAAACAGAUAUAAAGCUUUGUACUUUUCCUUUAACCUCCAACAAGUUAAUAAAAUGUUGUUCCUUU